ensembl:snoRNA
AAGACUAUACUUUCAGGGAUCAUUUCUAUAGUCUGCUACUAGAGAAGUUUCUCUGAACGUGUGGAGCACCAAAAACCACGAGGAAGAGGUGCAGUGUUCUCUCCCGAGCGUGAAGCUGGCUCUUAGUGUUGCUUUGCUGCAACUGCCAUUUGCCAUUGAUGAUCGUUCUUCUCUUCCUCCUUGGGGGAGUAAGAGGGAGAGAAUGCAGUCUGAGUGGUU